rnacentral:misc_RNA from 1 species
GACGAGACGAAUCUAGUCCAGUUGGCUGAGUCUAUAUUUCAUACUCCUAUUUAAAAGUCAAACGCUUGAUGUGACCCGGGAUAAACUUUAGCAGAAGUAACCAAACACCCCCUAAAUCAUGGUAAUUGAUAACGAAGAAAUCAAAAAUGUAAAAUAGAUGGCAACGGAAAAAAUCAAUAAUUUUGAAUAACAAUGAAAAAAAUAUUAUAGGAUUGAACGACAACGACUGGAUUCUCUCUCAAAAAAAGACGGGAGGAGUACUCUCUGGCUCUUUGCCAGUCAAUGAGCUGUAGAGAGCUGGGAAACGACAGUGUAGCUGGUGCCCUGCUGAACAUGGAGUGGCAGACGCAGACGGCAUCCCUCCUCUUUCGUGAAAUGCGGCGCCGGGCCCCGUCGUCUGGCGUCUGGCGUCUGGCGUCGCCGCUCGCCAAACAGGCAGCAGACGCGCUCCUGUCCUGUCCUGUGGGCGCGCGCUUGGACUCUUCUCCUUGCCUCCGUCGUAGCCGUGGCCACACCGGCCAGGGGAGAUCAGAUCACGAUCACGACGGCCGCGCUGAGUCACUCGCUUCGCCUCCAGUCCCGAGGGACGGCGAAGGAGACACGCACGACGUGUCAUCUAGUAAUGCAC